rnacentral:lncRNA from 1 species
GACUCUAGUCAAGCACAUUAUCAAACUUACAUUACAUUACAUCUCAUACUUUUACAUUACCAACAAACCAUGUCCACAGCUAAGCUAUUACAUAAACUUCUCUUACUCUGCUGACUUCUCUAUCUACUCUGCACCUGCAAGACUGGGGUUAGGGGAGAGGGGGUGAGCUAUAAAGCCCAAUGAGCAAAAACUAAAAACAUUUGUUUUAAUUCCUCCAUUUUUAGGUAUAUUAUUAUUCAUUUUACUAUUUUUAUUAUUAUUAUUAUAUUUUAUCAUUUUAUUUAACUUUUUCUUUCUUUUUCUUAUUCAUGCUUUCAUGAAAUGCAACACAUCACAGCUAAUCACAUAAAGGAUGGUAUUGUCACCAUUAGUCCUCAACAUCUCCAAAUGCCAGGGGCGUAGAAUGGGCCUCACUGGUCUUUCUCUUACAUAACAUAACAUUCUAAAGUGCCAGGGGCGUAGAAUGGGCCUCGCUGGUCUUUCUCUUACAUAGUGCCAGGGGAGUAGAAUGGGCCUCGCUGGUCUUCCAUAACAUAUCAUCAUAACAUAACAUCAGAGGACUAUGGAUCACCCAACAACCAUCCACAUCAACAUCAAUUUAUGCAAUGCAGCAUAUUCGUGAAUUCUAAUGCAAACAUCCUGAAAUAUUGCAUGGCAUAAUGGUGCAUGGGCAAUGCUUUAUGAUUCAUUCAUUUAUUCAUUUACUUGACUUUAAAACUUAAGGGGAUUGUUCUACUCACCUGGUGACUGAAGCUUUAACAACGAACUCUGAACGACUAUCUCACAACCGGGGGUCUCGGUUCCUCGG